AGUCGAACGAAGUAGCAAUACUUAGUGGCAGACGGGUGAGUAACAUGUGGGUAUCUGCCCUUUGGCCUGGAAUAACACGAGGAAACUUGUGCUAAUACCGGAUAAGUCUUUACGGAGAAAGUUUUAAUGCCAAAAGAUGAGCCCGCAUUUGAUUAGCUAGUUGGUAGGGUAAUGGCCUACCAAGACUGUGAUCAAUAGCUGAUUUGAGAGGAUGAUCAGCCACAUUGGGACUGAGACACGGCCCAAACUCC
rnacentral:rRNA from 1 species